UAAUUAUGUCCAUUUACCCAUGUAUAGUUAUCAAGUAAUAAUUAUUGUUUUCCCCUGCCUAUUCUAGAAAAGAUUUUAAGUAGCUGUGUUUUUAAAUUUAGUAAUUUUUAACUUGAAUCUCCACUGUUCUCAGACAGCAUAUCAGCUCCUGCUUUCCAGACAAACUUCCUGGGUCUUGGGAAGAAGAAAGCCUCAGACUAAGAACUCUCUCUGGACUCAGACAGCCUGAAUUCAAAUCCCAUCUCUAUUCUUACUAGUCAUAUGAACACAGGAGAACCAUAUCCAUUCAGCUCACUUUGGACCACCUGUGGAGCCUGAUAACCAGGGAACAGAGAACCUGUUGAGAUCCAAAUUUGUGUGCCAGAUCACAAACUCAUCUGAAGCAGAUGCCACGUGUUACACUGUUAUGUCUCUCAGAGACUCCAGCACUUUGAAAGUAUUAGGCCUUGCUUAUUGAGAUGAAUAUUUUUUUCUAGGCAUGUCCCAAAGUUCUCAGCAUAGCUACAACCCUGAUUUUCACAGGAUUUUCAUUAAAAUUAGGUUCUAGAGCAUUACUUCCCUAAUGUGCAAUGCAACUUACGUUUAGUUUUCAAAUCAAAAUUAGUUUUGUUUUUCCACUGUCUUUGUCUUUGAAAAUAUUGAACUUGGGAUUUCCAAAAUUAUAAUUAGCAAUUAUUUUUACAUAUCUUUUAUAUACAUAACUUUUACAAUGGCUGCCAUUAUCAUGUAGGUUCUUAGGAAGUGUUUCUGAUCCUUGUAAAUAAAAGUGAAAGAAGAAAUCUUUACUGCUUGCUGACCCAUGUGACUAACCUUGAAAUCAGAGAGGCAGAUUCAUUUAAAACAAACUUGCAAACUGUUAAGCAAAGUACUGAAUCUCUGUGACUUGACCAAAAGUAAUUCAGACUUGACUAUUCCAGGCUCCCUUCUAUCUCUGUAGCAACCCAUGCAUCAUAGACUCCAGUUGCAAUGGAUGGUCAAGGAAUCUGCUGUGCCUUUUGAGUCUCUCCAUUUUAUAUUGCCAAAUUUAUCUUCCUUUAAUACUUCACUUCACAUAAGACACUAAGAUAAACAAGGAUGCAACUCACUUAUAUUUCAAAAUAGUACCUAGUGGUUAAAAGUACUUGUUCUGAAAGCAACUCUAUUUUUCUAGUUCUAACAUGUCUCCAACUAGUUAUCUCACCUUGAGCUUGGCACAUAAUCACUCCAUCUUACUUUUGCAUCUGUGACACAAGAAAAAUACCACCCACCUCAACAUAGAUCUUAUGAAGAUUAAAAUAAGAUUAUGAAAGUAAAAUGCUCAGCACAAUGUCUAAACGAAAAUAAAUGCUCAGCAAGUAGGAGCUACUAUAAUUAUUAUCCAGAUCAAAUAUUUUCUCCUCUAUGAAGCUUUCUUAUUCUUCCCCAGCUGGAAUUACUUAUUUUCUUCCUUGCUUUCUACACCACACUUUAGUCACCACCAUGCUGGCACUUGUCUCACCGCAUUAUAAUUAUUUAUGUGCCUGUGUUCCAUAACCAGAAUAUGGGACUUAAGCUUCUUUAUACCUCCAGCAUAAUUGUUUCAUGUGUGCUUUUAGGUAAUGGAGUAAAAUGGAUGAAUGAGUGAAUGCGACUAUAGUACUAAAUGCUCUUAGAUAAAGAUGUAAUUAUUCUUAAGUGAUAAAAUUAUUCGAACAUGAGUAGUUCAGAUAAUGAGAGACUGUCAUAGAAUUACUUGAUAAAAUCUAGUCAAUAAAAUGGCUUGGCAAUAUAACCUUUAUGAUUUCUUUAAACAAUCAUUCAUUUCUUUCUGAAGAUGAGAAGAGGAGAUUCCUUCUCCCAUCUUUAUAUUUCAACAAUGAUUAGAAAAC
rnacentral:lncRNA from 10 species